ACUUCUGCCCUACCCCUUGAGACAGACUCUGAGAGGUGAAGGCAGAUUUCCUGGGCAGGGGCUUUUCUGGGGCUGGGGUUCAUCCAGGGAGAAAUGCCCUGCUCUGGAGAGAGUAUUUCGAUCCGUGGAUGUAAGACUGCUUUGGAGGACGACGAGAAGAGCACAUGUCAGCAGCAAAUCCAGCUGCCACAAGCAUGUGACGGGCACCUUUCCCAGCCUCACUUCUUCACCUCUCUGAGCUGGCUUUUUUCUCUGCAGAGUGGGGAUCGCCGCCUCUCAGGAGCUGAACUGAAGAAGGUGUUCCCUGGAGAACAGGUACAGUAGGCCUACUUUCCAUUUUUUUUCUUUGAAGUAAAAAAUGCCAAAUAGGACUCUUGCCACCUUGGUGUGGUCUGGUCCUUUAUGAUGACCUUGGGGUCCCAGGAGGACUCGCCACAGUUACUUUUGGUUCUGCAGUCUUGGGACCAUGGUCUCCUCCAUGACUCUCAGUGAACCUGUCCCAGCCAGUGGGACAAGCUCCCAGUUCUGUAGAAAGACCUGGCUUCUUUCUGCUAGAACUUCUUUCUAUGCAGACCAUCCGCAGCCCUUAAGGCUGCAGUCUGGAAGGUCUGGGACUGCCGUGGGUGGGUGGUCUGCCUUCAGGGAGUACUUGCUAGGGCCUGAGCUGCACAGUAAUCGGAGGCUUCCAGCAGCUGUGUGGUCAGUACUGUGUAUUCCUGGCCAGGUUACCUCAAAAGAAAUACUUCUUCUUGAAGCCCUGACAUUUCCCUCUUCCUACUGGCCAACAGGCCCACUGACUCACCUCCAUAGACUUCGGUACACUACUCACUGUAGAGCGAUGCAUUUCAUCCCACUCAGGGUUGCCUUCCCUGUAUUUUCCACACAACUGAGCAUCACAGACACUAAGGUUCCCCUAGUGUCUGAGGAGCUGAGGAUGCUUAAGACUGUGACACUCUUCUACUUGAUCCAUUUCCUUCCUCAAAACCUUAUCCCUGCCCUAAAUCACAGAUGGCUUCUAGCCAUUCAAGACCUUGAUGACAGGGCGAGAGAGGAAAUAAAGAAAGAAAAAGGACACGUUGGAGAAAUAUAUUCCCUAUACAUAAAAUAGAUAGAUAACUCAUUUCCACAGAAACUCUUACAAAUAAAUAGGAAAUAAGACUUCCUUGGUGGCUCAGAUGGUUAAGCGUCUGCCUACAAUGCGGGAGACCUGGGUUCAAUCCCUGGGUUGGGAAGCUCUCCUGGAGAAGGAAAUGGCAACCCACUCCAGUAUUCUUGCCCGGAAAAUCAAAUGGAUGGAGGAGCCUGGUAGGCUACAGUCCAUGGGGUCACAAAGAGUUGGACAAGACUGAGC
ensembl:lncRNA